rnacentral:rRNA from 1 species
GAUGAACGCUAGCUACAGGCUUAACACAUGCAAGUCGCGGGGCAGCAUGGGGGUUGCUUGCAACCCUUGAUGGCGACCGGCGCACGGGUGAGUAACGCGUAUCCAACCUGCCCUUCACCACGGGAUAACCCGGCGAAAGUCGGACUAAUACCGUAUGUUGUCCAUUGACGGCAUCCGAUUUGGACGAAAGGCUUGGCGGUGAGGGAUGGGGAUGCGUCCGAUUAGCUUGCCGGCGGGGUAACGGCCCACCGGGGCUACGAUCGGUAGGGGUUCUGAGAGGAAGGUCCCCCACACUGGAACUGAGACACGGUCCAGACUCCUACGGGAGGCAGCAGUGAGGAAUAUUGGUCAAUGGGCGAAGGCCUGAACCAGCCAAGUAGCGUGCAGGAUGACGGCCCUAUGGGUUGUAAACUGCUUUUAUGCGGGGAUAAAAGAAUUCACGUGUGGGUUUUUGCAGGUACCGCAUGAAUAAGGACCGGCUAAUUCCGUGCCAGCAGCCGCGGUAAUACGGAAGGUCCGGGCGUUAUCCGGAUUUAUUGGGUUUAAAGGGAGCGUAGGCCGCGCCUUAAGCGUGUUGUGAAAUGCGGGUGCUCAACAUCCGACUUGCAGCGCGAACUGGGGUGCUUGAGUGCGCCGAAAGUAGGCGGAAUUCGUGGUGUAGCGGUGAAAUGCUUAGAUAUCACGAAGAACUCCGAUUGCGAAGGCAGCUUACUGUAGCGCAACUGACGCUGAUGCUCGAAAGCGUGGGUAUCGAACAGG